AAUAUUUUACAAUGGGCGAAAGCCUGAUCCAGCAAUGCCGCGUGUGUGAGGAAGGUCUUCGGAUUGUAAAGCACUUUAAGUUGGGAGGAAGGGCUUUAGGCUAAUACCCUGAAGUUUUGACGUUACCGACAGAAUAAGCACCGGCUAACUUCGUGCCAGCAGACGCGGUAAUACGAAGGGUGCAAGCGUUAAUCGGAAGUACUGGGAGUAAAGCGCGCGUAGGUGGUUUGUUAAGUUGGAAGUGAAAGCCCUGGGCUCAACCUGGGAACUGCUUUCAAAACUGGCAAGCUAGAGUAUGGCAGAGGGUGGUGGAAUUUCCUGUGUAGCGGUGAAAUGCGUAGAUAUAGGAAGGAACACCAGUGGCGAAGGCGACCACCUGGGCUAAUACUGACACUGAGGUGCGAAAGCGUGGGGAGCAAAC
rnacentral:rRNA from 1 species